AAACCGGAGCUAAUACGGAUAAUAUAUUGAACCGCAUGGUUCAAUAGUGGAAAGACGGUUUUGCUGUCACUUAUAGAUGGAUCCGCGCUGCAUUAGCUAGUUGGUAAGGUAACGGCUUACCAAGGCAACGAUGCGUAGCCGACCUGAGAGGGUGAUCGGCCACACUGGAACUGAGACACGGUCCAGACUCCUACGGGAGGCAGCAGGC
rnacentral:rRNA from 1 species